ACAACCCAAUCUGCUAAUCUCCGAUACCGCUUUGUACUUAGGAUCUUGUAUCCACUGAUUGUCUUGUUAGAUUAACCCAAUAAAUUUCAUGCACUCCGCAUACUCAAUCCUAUAGACAUCCUUUUAAUUCUUCAAUCACAGACGUAACUCGAUUUCACAAAACAGUCAAGAGUAAUCAAACCCACUUCAUUAAAAAAAAUCCCGAUUCACCAUUACAACACUGACUUCAGCAACGAUUGCCUCAGUCUUCCCGAAACCUUAUGAAGAAGAAAAACCCAAUUCUCUAUCUUUUCUUCCCGGACCCGAAGCAUCAAGCUCCUCUUCAAUCCCCUGAUCUUCAAAAACCUCCAAUGAAACAGAACUGGUAACCUUGCAAAAGCUUGAAAACUAGCUCCCCUCCUCGAUUCCCCUGUUCUUCAAAAACCUCCAAUGAAAACCGAACUGGUAACCUUGCAAAAG
rnacentral:lncRNA from 1 species